rnacentral:misc_RNA from 1 species
GCAAACUUGGUCAUUUAGAGGAAGUAAAAGUCGUAACAAGGUUUCCGUAGGUGAACCUGCGGAAGGAUCAUUACCGUUGGGGGUCAAACUCCAAUCGGGAUAGACACCCUUGCCUUUGAGUACCUUUUCGUUUCCUCGGCGGGCUCGCCCGCCGGUGGACAUCCAAAAAAACCCCUUGUAAUAGCAGUAUCUUCUGAAUAAAAAGCAAAUAGUCAAAACUUUCAACAACGGAUCUCUUGGUUCUGGCAUCGAUGAAGAACGCAGC